rnacentral:rRNA from 1 species
AGGUCCAGCCUGCCCAGUGACAUGGUUCAACGGCCGCGGUAUCCUAACCGUGCGAAGGUAGCGUAAUCACUUGUUCUUUAAAUGAGGACUAGUAUGAAGGGCAUCACGAGAGUCACACUGUCUCCUCUUUCUAAUCAGUAAAACUAAUCUCCCCGUGAAGAAGCGGGGAUAAAAAUAUAAGACGAGAAGACCCUAUGGAGCUUUAAACAAACAACACUUGCCUCCCUUAUCUAAAUUUCAGAAAAACCCUUCACUCUGGCAUCAUGAUUGCUAGUUUUCGGUUGGGGUGACCACGGAACAAAAAAUAACCUCCGAAAUGAAAAUACUCCUCCACUAAAUCAAGGACCACAAUCCUACAUAUCAACAAAUUGACAUCAAUUGACCCAACAUGUUGAUCAAUGAAUCAAGUUACCCUAGGGAUAACAGCGCAAUCCACUUCAAGAGCCCUUAUCGCCAAGUGGGUUUACGACCUCGAUGUUGGAUCAGGGUAUCCUGGUGGUGCAGCCGCUACUAAAGGUUCGUUUGUUCAACGAUUAAAACCCU